UGCAGUCGAACGGAGUUUACAGGCAGAAGUUUUCGGAUGGAAGCUUGUAAACUUAGUGGCGGACGGGUGAGUAACACGUGAGCAACCUGCCUAUCAGAGGGGGAUAACGAUUGGAAACGAUCGCUAAUACCGCAUGACAUAGCGGAACCGCAUGGUUCUGUUAUCAAAGAUUUAUCGCUGAUAGAUGGGCUCGCGUCCGAUUAGAUAGUUGGUGGGGUAACGGCCUACCAAGUCGACGAUCGGUAGCCGGACUGAGAGGUCGAACGGCCACAUUGGGACUGAGACACGGCCCAGACUCCUACGGGAGGCAGCAGUGGGGGAUAUUGCACAAUGGGGGAAACCCUGAUGCAGCGACGCCGCGUGAGGGAAGACGGUCCUCUGGAUUGUAAACCUCUGUCUUCGGGGACGAAACGAGACGGUACCCGAGGAGGAAGCCACGGCUAACUACGUGCCAGCAGCCGCGGUAAUACGUAGGUGGCAAGCGUUGUCCGGAAUUACUGGGUGUAAAGGGGGCGUAGGCGGGCAGGCAAGUCAGGCGUGAAAUAUAUCGGCUCAACCGGUAACGGCGCUUGAAACUGCAGGUCUUGAGUGAAGUAGAGGUUGGCGGAAUUCCUAGUGUAGCGGUGAAAUGCGUAGAUAUUAGGAGGAACACCAGUGGCGAAGGCGGCCAACUGGGCUUUUACUGACGCUGAGGCUCGAAAGUGUGGGGAGC
rnacentral:rRNA from 1 species